AUUUAUUAGUCUAGCAUACAAAUUCCUGUAUAAUUACUUUUCAUUAUUAAAAUGCCAUCAAAACUCCUACGUAUCUUUUAUAUACUAAAUGAUUUAAUGCUAGGAACAUUUUACAUUUUCCUUAUGAAAAUCUAAGAUAUGUAUCACACAUUUCAGGGAAUUCUCAUCUAAUUUCUAAGUUUCACAAUUUUUAUUUUUGAUAUUUUGUCUUCAGGUGGCUAAAUGAACAAUUAAAACUAACUGUAUUUAUGUAAACUUAUUUAAUGACAUCAAUAUUUCAUAAAUUUUAUUCCUUGCUUAAAGCAAGACUGACCUGGUAUUUAUACCAGAAGGAGCAGCCACUGCCUGGUAUGGCUUCCACGAUGUAAGAAUUGCUCUGCUUGCCUCCCAAGUGCUCAACUGAAAUGCUCAACAUUCCUAUUAGUUUUAAUACUAUUUCUUAAAAUGCAUAUGAGUUUUCACUUAAUAAGGCAUUUUCAUGUAUUAACUUAUUUGAAUCUAAAAACCAAUACUAUAAAAUAUUGUGAUUUACCUUCCCAGAUUCAGAGAAAGGAAGAAAUUAAAGUCAACUCAAAAGGACAAUUUAUUAACCAAAGAAGUAGGAUUCAAAUCGAACUACUCUGUGCCAAAACUUUGCUAGGAGCUGGAAGUAAACAACUGAACAAGAGCAUAUAGAACCUAUAUAUUUCAUGUUGCAACAGCCUAUGCUGGAAAUUUACAGACUGAAAACAUGUGAGUACUCAAUUAUGUCACAGAAUAUAUCAUGGAUGCCAGAGAUGUAAUAAACCACCAGCCAAUUAACUUCCCACAUGAACUGGCUGGGGAUAAGCAGGACUGACCCAUAUGCUCUGCUUCUUCCCUAGAACAGAUCAAAUAGAAGAAAGAAAUGAAGAUCAGGGUUACCACUGCCCUGGAGUGACUACACUCUUGCACUUGUAAUUUUGGAAGUUUUUCUGCAGCACUUCAUUUCUGCCUCAAUAGAGAGAAAAUAACCCCAUGGUCCACCUCAAUAUAUUUUAAGAAAUGAUGGUUAAUUUGAUAAUAAUGAUCAUUUCAAAAUAAAUGGGUAUCUUUGACAAUGGACACAGGUCUUUAUUUCCCCUAGAAGCACCUGGAAAUCUAAAUUGGUAACUCCACCAACUCCUGCUACUCCUAGCCAGGCAGGACGUAAUGACUUGGGCUUCCAAUGCAGAGGUGCCUCCCCUACCAGAACUCUGCAGGCUGACACACCUCUGUGUCUCUGCUAAAAAAACACCUAGACAGCAAUCUGCUAUUCCAUGCACCCCCGCUGCUUCUAGCUGGGCAGGAUCCCCAGCUGGGUCAUCUAGCACAGUGGCUCCAACCUUGCCAGAACUUUGUGUCCCCUAAGGAAGCACCUGGAUGGCGGUCAGUGCCUACCCAUCUACCUCUGCUGCUCCUAGCAGCAGGACCCACAGACUUGGACUUCUAGUGCAGCAGCUCCACCCAGCCUGAACUCUGCAGAUGGACACUGAUCUGUGUUCUCCCAGAAAACACCCAGAUUGCACACCAUGCAACAUCUGUUUUUCCUCACUGCUCCUACCUAGGCAAGAUUCACCAACUUGAGAGGAACUCAAGCAGGGAAGGAGCCCCCAGCUUUAGAACACUGAGAGAAGUGAGACUCCCAGACUUGUGGGCCAGCAGGGAAGUGGGGCAUGCCUCCUUCCACGGGGUGGUCAGGGAAAGGUGUGACCUGCUGCCAGUCCCAGCCUCUCCCUGAGGGAGUCCCACAGCCCAAAACACCUAACAAAGAAAACUCAGGUGCAGUGCCAGUGAUAGGAUGGGGUUCCUACAAGGCCCAAGAGUAGACUUGCUGAGUGGGUCAUCUCUCCCUGACUACCACAGAGCACUACUGUGAAUGCACUGAAAUAGAAGACAGCCAUGUACCUAAGACUAUCUGCCAGCCCUUACUGGUAAGUACCAUCUACUGGAUCAUAGGACAAAUUACAACAACAAAAAUAUUUUGCCAGUGUACAGUGCCUGUGAAACCUAAGGCAAAUAUUCAACCACAAAUAAAGGCUCUCCUACACAGAGCCUUUGCACUCUGAAAGCACCCAGAAAUGAAGCCAACUGACUACACUCAUCCUACAUCACAGUUAAAGGAAAACUAACCCUCUCAGGUGAGAAAUAAUUUGCACAAAACUUUUGGCAAUUUAGAAAGCCAAAGUGUCCCCUUACCUCCAAACAAACCUCUAACCCCCAGCAAUGGUUUUUAACCACUAUUGAAAUGACAGCAAUAGAUGCCAGACUGAAUUUGGAAUCGGGAUGGCAAGGAAGCUCAUCAAGAUCCAGGAAAAAGUUGAAACCCAAUCCAAGGAAUGCAGUGAAACAACCCAAAAGCUGAAAGAGAAAAUGGUCAUUUUAAGAGAGAAUCAAACUGAACUUCUGGAAUGAAAUUCUCUAUAAAAAUUUCAUAAUACAAUCAAAAGCAUUAACAGCAGAAUAGACCAGGUUGACGAAAGUAUCUCAGAGCUGAAAGACUAUUUCUUCAAAUUAACCUAGGCAGACUAAAACAAAGAAAAAAAAUGUUUUUUAAGGAAAUAAAACCGCUGAGAAAUAUGUACUUAUGUAAAAAGACCAAAUCUAAUACUUAUUGGCAUUCCUGAGAGAGAAGAGAGUAAGCAACUUGAAAAACAUAUUUGAUUAUAAUAGAGUUUAUGAAAAUUCUCCCAAUCUUGUUGGAGAGGUAGACAUACAAAUUCAAGAAAUACAGAGAAGCCAUCUAAGAUACUAUAUGAUACUACCAUUCUCAACGCACAUAGUCAUUAGGUUUAUGAAAAUCAGUGUGAAAUAAAAGAUACUUGGAAAGGUCAAGUCACUAACAAAGGAAACCUCGUCAGAGUAGCAAGAGACAUUUCAGCAGAAAACUUACAAACCAGACAAGAUUCGGGGCCUAUUUUCAACACCCUCAAAGAAAAGAAAUUCAAAAAAAGAAUUUCAUAUAUUUCCAAGCUCCAUAAGUGAAGGAGAUAUAAAGUCCUUCUCAGGAAGCAAACACUCAGGGAAUUUAUUACCACCAGACCAGCUUUAUAUCAGGCUCUUAAGGGAGUGCUAAACAUGGAAAUGAAAGAUAGAUACUUGCUACCACAAAAACACACUUACACAAUCAAGUCUACAAAACAAUCGAGUAGUGACACAAUGACAGGAAUGAAAUCUUACAUAUUAAUACUAACCCUGAAUGUAAAUGGUCUAAAUACCCCACUUAAAAGUCCUAGAGUGGUAAGCUGGAUAAAAAGACAAGACCCAACCUCCUGCUGAAUUCAAAAGACCCAUCUCACAUAUCACAACACCCACAGGCACAAAGUAAAGGGAUAGGGAAUAUCUGCCAUGCAAACAGAAAACAAAAAAGAGCAGGAAUUAGUAUUCUUAUAUCACAUGAAACGGACUUUAAACCAACAACAGUGAAAAGAGACAAAGAAGACCAUUACAUAAUGAUAAAGCUUUCAAUUCAACAAGAAGACUUAACUAUCUUAAAUAUAUACUCACCUUGGAGCACCCAUACUUAUAAACAACUUCUUUUUGAUCUACAAAAACACUGAUGCAGCCACACAAUAAUAAUGGGAAACUUAACCACCUAAAUGAAACUGUUAGACAAAUAAUUGAGGCAGAAAACUAUUAAUAAAAAAAGAAAUUCUGCAGUUAACCUUGGCACUUGACCAACUGGACCUAAAAGACAUCUGCAAAAUACUCCAUCCAGCAACCACAGGUUAUACGUUAUUUUCUUCUACACAUGGGACAUAGUGUAAGAUUGGCCUUGUGCUUGAUCACAAAGCAAGUGUCAAUAAAUUCAAACAAUCAAAAUCAUACCAAGCACACCCUGGACCACAGUGCAACGAAAUUGAAUGAAUUGCAAUGAAUUAUAUUGAAAAUAAAAUUCAAUACCAAGAACAUCUCUCAAAACCAUACCCAAACAUGGAAAUUAAACUACUUGCUCCUGAAAAACUCUAGGUGAAUAAUACAAUUACGGUAGAUUUUUUUUAAAAAUAAACUUUAUUAAAAUAGAGGCACAAUUUACAAAAGUCUGUGCAGCUUUACCAGUGUUUAGAGGAAAGUUUGUAGUGCUACACACAUUCAUCAAGAAGUUAGAAAUAUAUCAAAUUAACGGUCUGGGCUUUGGGAGGCCAAGGCAGUUGGAUCACCUGAGGUCAGGAUUUCAAGACCAGCCUAGGCAACAUGGUGAAAUCCCAUCUGUACUAAAAUGCAAACAUUAGCUGGGCUUUCUGGCAUGCACCUGUAGUCCCAGCUAUUUGAGAGACUGAAGCAGGAGAAUUGCUUGAACCUGGGAGGCGGAGGUUGCACUGAGCUGAGAUCAUGCCACUAUACUCUAGCCUAGGCAACAGAAGAAGAUUUUGUCUAAAAAGAAAGAAAGAAAUAUGUCAAAUUAGUGAUCAACCUCCCACCUUGAAAAACUAAGCAAAAGUAAAAAAAUAACUAAU
ensembl:lncRNA